rnacentral:rRNA from 1 species
AUUGAACGCUGGCGGCAGGCCUAACACAUGCAAGUCGAACGAGUGGCGGACGGGUGAGUAAUGUCUGGGAAACUGCCUGAUGGAGGGGGAUAACUACUGGAAACGGUAGCUAAUACCGCAUACCAUCGGAUGUGCCCAGAUGGGAUUAGCUAGUAGGUGGGGUAAAGGCUCCCCUAGGCGACGAUCCCUAGCUGGUCUGAGAGGAUGACCAGCCACCCGGGAAAUGAGACACGGUCCAGACUCCUCCGGGAGGCAGCAGUGGGGAAUAUUCAACAAUGGGCGCAAGCCUGAUGCAGACAUGCCGCGUGUAUGAAGAAGGCCUUCGGGUUGUAAAGUACUUUCAGCGGGGAGGCGUUACCCGCAGAAGAAGCACCGGCUAACUCCGUGCCAGCAGCCGCGGUAAUUC